rnacentral:rRNA from 1 species
UACAGAGGGGUGCGAGCGUUAAUCGGGAUUUUACUGGGCGUAAAGCGUGCGUAGGCGGCUGAUUAAGUCGGAUGUGAAAUCCCCUGAGCUUAACUUAGGAAUUGCAUUCGAUACUGGUCAGCUAGAGUAUGGGAGAGGAUGGUAGAAUUCCAGGUGUAGCGGUGAAAAUGCGUAGAGAUCUGGAGGAAUACCGAUGGCGAAGGCAGCCAUCUGGCCUAAUACUGACGCUGAGGUACGAAAAGCAUGGGGGAGCAAAACAGG